rnacentral:lncRNA from 1 species
AUACACACCCAUUACCAAUGAGCAAUAGAUUCCGGUAACCCCCUCCUGUCUACCAGAGUCCUCUCCCUGUAACCCAGAAUGUUUGCACGUCCCACCCGCGCUUUGCCCAGCUCCUCACUGUCCUUGGACUUCCCUGGAGAACGUAGAACUGAUGUGCACUGUUGGCUCCUGUUGUGCUGCACAGGCCUCCGUACAAACGGAACUCAAGGGUUAGUCUUUGUGACUCGUGAGGUGACUACACUAACACCUGGUGUUGAUAAGAUGGCAUGAAAACAGCCAGCUCUGGAAGUCGUGCGGAGUGAUGGCUCAGAAGUGAAUAGUGCUUGCUGCUCUUUCCAAGGACCCGAGAUGGGUUACCAGCACCCAUGUUCUCCAGAUCACAGUCUUCGCUAACUCCAGCUCCAGGGCUUCUAACCCCCUCUUCUGGCCUCCAUGGUACCUUUACUCAUGUGCCUGACAUCCUCCCACACAUACUUAAUGAAAAAUUAGAAUUAAAUCUUUAAUAAUAAUAAUAAAGAGUCCCGGAAGAGUUUCACAUUCUU